CCUACGGGGGAGCAGCAGUGGGGAAUAUUGCGCAAUGGGCGAAAGCCUGACGCAGCAACGCCGUGUGAGGGAUGAAGGCUUUCGGGUCGUAAACCUCUGUCGGAAGGGAAGAACGGGCAUUGGUCUAAUAGGCCUUUGUUUUGACGGUACCUUUAGAGGAAGCACCGGCUAACUCCGUGCCAGCAGCCGCGGUAAUACGGAGGGUGCAAGCGUUAUUCGGAAUUACUGGGCGUAAAGCGCACGUAGGCGGCCUUGUAAGUCAGGGGUGAAAUCCCACGGCUCAACCGUGGAACUGCCUUUGAAACUGCAGGGCUUGAAUCCUGGAGAGGGUGGCGGAAUUCCUGGUGUAGGAGUGAAAUCCGUAGAUAUCAGGAGGAACACCGGUGGCGAAGGCGGCCACCUGGACAGGUAUUGACGUUGAGGUGCGAAAGUGUGGGGAGCAAACAGGAUUAGAUACCCUGGUAGUCCACACCGUAAACGAUGGAUACUAGGUGUCGGGGACUUGAUCUUCGGUGCCGUAGCUAACGCGUAAAGUUUCC
rnacentral:rRNA from 1 species